CGCGUAGACAACCUGCCUUCUAGAUGGGGACAACGUUCCGAAAGGGACGCUAAUACCGAAUGUCCUGUCAAGUCCGCAUGGACUGGACAGCAAAGAUGGCCUCUGCAUAUGCUAUCGCUAGAAGAUGGGUCUGCGUCUGAUUAGCUGGCUGGUGAGGUAACGGCUCACCAAGGCGACGAUCAGUAGCCGGUCUGAGAGGAUGAACGGCCACACUGGGACUGAGACACGGCCCAGACUCCUACGGGAGGCAGCAGUGGGGAAUCUUCCGCAAUGGACGAAAGUCUGACGGAGCAACGCCGCGUGAGUGAAGAAGGUUUUCGGACCGUAAAACUCUGUCUUUUAGGGCGAACGUAUUGCUGGUGAACAAUCAGCGAUAGUGACGGUACUAAAGGAGGAAGCCACGGCUAACUACGUGCCAGCAGCCGCGGUAAUACGUAGGUGGCGAGCGUUGUCCGGAAUUAUUGGGCGUAAAGCGCGCGUAGGCGGGAUAGUCAGUCUGUUGUAAAAGUGCGGGGCUCAACCCCGUAAGGUCAAUGGAAACUGCUAUUCUUGAGUGCAGGAGAGGAAAGUGGAAUUCCCAGUGUAGCGGUGAAAUGCGUAGAUAUUGGGAGGAACACCAGUGGCGAAGGCGACUUUCUGGACUGU
rnacentral:rRNA from 1 species